rnacentral:rRNA from 1 species
UACGUAGGGGGCAAGCGUUAUCCGGAUUUACUGGGUGUAAAGGGAGCGUAGACGGAAUUGCAAGUCUGAUGUGAAAAUCCGGGGCCCAAUCCCGGAACUGCAUUGGAAACUGUAUUUCUAGAGUGUCGGAGAGGCAAGUGGAAUUCCUGGUGUAGCGGUGAAAUGCGUAGAUAUCAGGAGGAACACCAGUGGCGAAGGCGGCUUGCUGGACGAUGACUGACGUUGAGGCUCGAAAGCGUGGGGAGCAAACAGG